UACAGAGGGUGCAAGCGUUGUUCGGAAUUAUUGGGCGUAAAGCGCGUGUAGGCGGUUUUGCAAGUCGGGCGUGAAAGCCCUCAGCUCAACUGAGGAAGUGCGCCCGAAACUGCAGAUCUUGAGUACCGGAGAGGAUGGCGGAAUUCCCCAAGUAGAGGUGAAAUUCGUAGAUAUGGGGAGGAACACCGGUGGCGAAGGCGGCCAUCUGGACGGAUACUGACGCUGAGACGCGAAAGCGUGGGUAGCAAACAGG
rnacentral:rRNA from 1 species